AGAGCACAGUCCUCCAUAAGACAGGGACUUCAUGUAUUUGAGGAGAACACUCUACCUACAUCCCAAGCACUCAGGGGGUCUUCAUGGGACUCCGGUGAGUUGUGGAGAGAAGGUCAGUGCACUAUGCAGCCAUCAACAGAUGGGAACAACCUCAGAGACCCACAGCCAGACUUUAUGCAGAGAAUGGGAGACCUUGUAACAUUCUGCUCUAAAAAUGACAAUGUCUCCAUCAAAUUCCUCCCCUCAGGGCUCACAGAAUCCU